rnacentral:rRNA from 1 species
GACGAACGCUGGCGGCGUGCCUAAUACAUGCAAGUAGAACGCACAGUUUAUACCGUAGCUUGCUACACCAUAGACUGUGAGUUGCGAACGGGUGAGUAACGCGUAGGUAACCUGCCUGGUAGCGGGGGAUAACUAUUGGAAACGAUAGCUAAUACCGCAUAAUAUUAAUUAUUGCAUGAUAAUUGAUUGAAAGAUGCAACUGCAUCACUACCAUAUGGACCUGCGUUGUAUUAGCUAGUAGGUGAGGUAACGGCUCACCUAGGCGACGAUACAUAGCCGACCUGAGAGGGUGAUCGGCCACACUGGGACUGAGACACGGCCCAGACUCCUACGGGAGGCAGCAGUAGGGAAUCUUCGGCAAUGGACGAAAGUCUGACCGAGCAACGCCGCGUGAGUGAAGAAGGGUUUCGGAUCGUAAAGCUCUGUUGUAAGAGAAGAACGGGUGUGAGAGUGGAAAGUUCACACUGUGACGGUAUCUUACCAGAAAGGGACGGCUAACUACGUG